rnacentral:rRNA from 1 species
AUGGCGGCGGCUGGCCCGAGCUGCUUGCUGGCGUUGGUGUUCUUGGCGGUGCUGCUCCCGGGGGGCGCGCCGCUGCUGCAGGCCUCCCAGACGUGGACUCUGCUCAAGGUGCAGCAGCUGCUGGGCCGGCCGCCGGCGCUCCGGCACUGGCGCCGCACCACCGACUUCUGCGGCGGCGGCGGCACCGUCGCCCCCUCCGCCUCCGUCGUCUGCUACGGGGACACCGUCACGCAGCUCCACGUCGCGGGCGGCGCCCAGGGCGCUCCGCCGCUCCCGCUUAACUUUUCCCUUGGUGCACUGGUCACCACGCUGUCCAGGCUCCCCGACCUCAAGGUGCUCACGCUCUCCGGCCUCGGCCUCUGGGGCCCCCUGCCGGGGAAGCUGGAGCGGCUCGCCGGGCUGGAGAUCGUCAACAUGAGCCGCAACUACCUCUACGGGCCCAUCCCGAGGGGCCUCUCGCGGCUGCAGGGCCUGCAGACGCUCAUCCUCGACGACAACAUGAUCGGCGGCGAGGUGCCGGGCUGGGUCGGCACCGCGCUGCCGGCGCUGGCCGUGCUCAGCCUGCGGAACAACUCGCUGGCCGGCGCCGUGCCGGAGUCGCUCGGGAAGGCGCCGUCGCUGCGCUCGCUCGUGCUCGCCUCCAACAACCUCUCCGGGAACCUCCCCGACAUGCGCGGCCUCGCGAACCUCCAGGUGCUCGACGUCGGCGGCAACUCGCUCGGGCCGGCGUUCCCGAGGCUCGGGAGGAAGGUGGCGUCGGUGGUGCUGAGCCGGAACAAGUUCACCGGCGGCCUGCCCGCCGCCGAGCUCAGCUCCUUCUACCUGCUCGAGCAUCUGGACGUGUCGCUGAACCGCUUCGUCGGGCCGUUCCCGCCGGCGCUGCUGUCCCUGCCGUCGCUCCAGUACCUGAGCAUCGCCGGGAACAGGUUCACCGGGGCGCUCUCCGACAAGGUGCCCUGCGGCGACAACCUCCGGCUCGUCGACCUGUCGUCGAACCUCCUGAUGGGGAGCGUGCCGGCCUGCUUGAGGCCGGGCGGGAAGCCGGUGGCGGUGGUGCUCUCGUCGGAGAACUGUCUGGACAGGGGCGACGGCUCGCAGCACCCGUCGCCGUUCUGCCAGAACCAGGCACUGGCCGUGGGGAUAGUUCCUCGACACAAUGAAAAGAAGAAAGUUAGCCGGCACGCGGGCUUCAUCGCCGGCAUCGUGAUGGCGGUCGUCGUGGCUGUCUCGCUCGUCGGCGCCAUGGCCUUCUUCGCCAUCAAAAAAAUGACCAUGGAAGGGGCAAAGACGAGGCCCGCGGCGACAUUGAUGGAAGACCAUACUUCUACUUCGAGUGCCUACCCUUCCAAGCUGUUCGCCGAUGCACGUUACAUAUCACAGACAGUGAAGCUAGGAGCUUUGGGGAUCCCGCCAUAUAGAUCAUUUUCUUUGGUCGAACUCGAGGCGGCGACGAACAACUUUGCAAACUCUUGCCUGCUCGGGCAAGAUUCUUAUGGCGAGAUGUAUCUAGGGAAGCUAAGCAAUGGUGCCUCAGUGACAAUCAGGAGCCUAAAGGUUAAGAGGAACCAGAGCUCCCAAAGCUUCAACCGCCACAUCGAAACCAUAUCUCGGCUCAGGCAUCGGCACUUGGUCAGUGCUCUAGGGCACUGCUUUGAAUACGAUCUCGACGAUUCCACCGUAACCCAACUCUACCUCGUUUUCGAGUAUGUGCAAAACGGGAACUUGAGGAGCAGGAUUUCGCAAGGAACCGAAGGACGGAAGCUUACCUGGGGGCAGAGGAUAUCGGCCGCCAUCGGUGUCGCAAAGGGCAUCCAGUUCUUGCAUGGAGGGAUCAUACCUGGUCUAUUCGGGAAUAAUCUGAGGAUCAGCAACAUUCUUCUAGACCAGAACCAUGUCGCCAAAAUCGGCAGCUACAAUAUUCCAAUCCUAGGAGAGGCUGCAAAAUCUGAGGGAGGGGCUGGAAGCAGGCACCAAACUGACAGCACGAUGCUCGGCGACAAGAUCGACAUAUUUGAUUUCGGGGUGAUCCUGCUUGAGCUUGUGUCCGGAAAGCCGAUCACAUCCAUAUAUGAGGUGGAGAUCAUGAAGGAACUGCUGCUGUGGGCAAUGGCCGAGGAGGACAGGGCCAGGAGGAGGAGCUUCGUGGACCCCGCGGUGAGCAAGAGCUGUUCAGAGGAAUCACUGAGGACCGUCAUGGAGAUCUGCCUGAGGUGCCUUGCCAAGGAGGCGGUGCACCGGCCGUCGGUCGAGGACGUGCUCUGGAACCUCCAGUUCGCCACCCAGGUGCAGGAUGACUGGGAGGGGGAGAUCCGGAGCGGCGACGGCUCCCCGGUGUCGUCGUCCCGGACCGCCAGGUCGUCUAGAUUCAGCAGAUAG